rnacentral:rRNA from 1 species
AGAAGAGCCGUUUGGGAUUUCCCGAAAUUAAAAGAUCUAAGGGACUAUAAGUUAUUAGAUUAAUAUAAAAUACUGUGGCAUUAGUAUAUCUCAAAGAGUAUCUUAGUGGUGAAACGCCUUCACUUUUAUUGAUAGCUGGAUAAAUGUUAAAUAUAUUAAGUUUAUAAAAAAAUUACAAAGUUAUAAGAUUUUGUAAGCAGAAUUUUAGGUUUUAUUAGCAAAUGCUACUAACAAAUACUUUUCAGCAAUACCGUUACCUUAAAUAUUUUUACUUCUUUAAAAUUCUAUCCUAACAUUUCAUUUAAUAAAAAUAAUAUUUUCAUAAAUUGAUAAUGUAUAAAUGAGUAUAUAUAUAAAUUUAUUUAAAUGAACUCGGCAAAUUAUAUGUACGACUGUUUACCAAAAACAUAGCCGGUAGUAAUAUUUCUUAUCGGUGUGACCUGCCCAGUGAUAUUUAACGGCCGCAGUACCAUGACUGUGCAAAGGUAGCAUAAUCAUUUGGCUUUUAAUUGGAGUCUAGUAUGAAAGGAUUCACGUAUAUAAGCUGUAUUUAUAUAAGUCUAUAAAAUUUAUUUAUAGGGUGAAAAUACCCUAAAUAAGAAAAUUAGACGAGAAGACCCUUAGAAUUUUAAGAAAAGCCAUGACUCUGCAUGGUAAACUUUUUGUUGGGGCAACAAUAUUUCAGUAGAAUAAAUAUAAUAUCAUUCAAUAUAACGAAAUAGUUUAAUCAAGUAUAAAUUACCUUAGGGAUAACAGCAUAAUUUUAACAAAAGAUUGUGACCUCGAUGUUGGACUAGGAACUAUUAAGGCUAGUCGUUUUAAUAAAAUAGGUUCUGUUCGAACUUUAUUUCCUA